rnacentral:rRNA from 1 species
CAAUGGCCUAACGGCUGAACCAGCAAUUUGGAAGAACGAAUAACGAGUAAGUCGUAUAAAGUUCUAGAUAGAAUACUGAUAAUGACUAUUUUCUAUCUAUUAGUCUUGACCAAAUUACGUGCCAGCAGUCGCGGUAAUACGUAGAAGACAAGUGUUAUUCAUCUUUAAUGGGUUUAAAGGGUACCUAGACUGGAAAUAAAGCCAGAAUUUAAUGUUAUACAUUGGAACUAAUUUCCUAGAGUUUUAUGUGUGAAUAUAUGAAUUACCGGAGGAGCGAUCGUAUGCAUUUAUACCGGUAGGACGGAUAGAAGCUAAAGCGAUAUUCUAUGUAGAAACUGACGUUGAGGGACGAAGCCUUGGGUAGCGAACAGGAUUUGAUACCCUAUUAGUCCUUGGAGACAAUUAUGAGUGCCAUAAGCAUGUUAUAGAUGUGUUUAUAAAUGAAAGUGCAAGCACUCCACCUCAUGAGUACGGCGGCAAUGCCUAAAUUGAAAUCAUUAGACCGUAUCUGAAAUCAGUAGUGAAGUAUGUUAUUUAAUCCGAUAAUCCGCGAAUAACCUUACCACCCCUUGAAUAAAACAAAUUGUUCAUACAAACGCUGCACGGUUGUCUUCAGUUAAUGUCGUGAGAUGUGGUUAAUUCCUCUAAUUAACGAAAACCCUUGCUUUAAAUAUAUUUUAAAUAAAGUAGUUCGUCUAAAUAUUAGAUAAGAUAACAGGGACUAAGGCAAGUUGUCGUGGCUCUAACUGGGC